ACAGAGUUUAAAUGCAGCGACUCACAGUGCCUGGGUCUGUUUACAGAAAGCCACAGGACAUGUUUUAAGUGCAUACUGCUCCUGCACAUCAGGGUUGGGACAAACUUGCAACCAUGUGGCAGGUCUACUUUUCCGCAUUGAAUCUGCAACCAAAUUAGGCCUUACAUCUUGCACCUCAGGCACAUGCAUAUGGGUAAAACCAUCUGAAAAGAAACUCCAGCCUGCUCCAACCAGACCACUUGUUGGAAAGAGUAAGGCUGACUAUGAUGUAAUGCCUGAAGCAAACAAUGACACCGGGGCUUGCAUUCAGAAAACUCUUUUAGCCUCUCUGAAGGAUGCUAUUCCAAAUGCAUGUGUAUUCAAAGGAGUGCACACUACUGAUGACCAGGAUACCACACAGUUACCUGUACCAGUGAAUCAGAAAGAAACAGCUGAUGUUAUGGUUUUUGAUGUUUCAAACUAUUAUAUUGACAAUAUGGUUAAAAACAAUGUAGACCAUUUCACAGAGACUGAGGUUCAAGCCAUUAACAACCUCACCAAUGGGUCAAUCAUCCAACCCCCAUUGGACAGAAAUGAGGAAAGGACGGAUUACGGCAUCAAAUUUCUAUACUGUCCAUACAAAAGUGGAAAAUUAUAAGAGAAACGCUACACACUGUGACAUAAAGCCUUAAGUUUGCUUUCACGUAUAAUGGGAUAUAAAAAUGUUAAUCCGAAUGUGAUGUCUUUAAAGUAUGGACGAGAAAUGGAACCAAUUGCUAAAAUUGAGUUUAUGAAAAUGUACAGAAAAAAACAGAGAUGUAUCAUUUGAUGAAUGUGGUAUAUUUUUAGAUGUAGAUCACCCCUAUUUAGCAGCUUCCCUGAUUUAUUGGUAUCAUGUUCUUGCUGUGGUGAGGGUUUAGUAGAAUUUAAAUGUCCUCUCAUUCCAAAAUGUUCUACAUAUUUUUCUUUUUGCAAAUGUAAUUUGCCAAGUUGUUUACAAAACACUGAAUCACUUACAUUGAAACACGGGGCAUAUUAUGGUCAAAUUCAGGGCCAGAUUGAACUUACAAAGAGAAAAUGGUGUAUACUGUACAUAUAAACAUGCAAUGUACCAUUUUAUGAAAAUAUUGUGUUUGACCAGCAUUUUUAUUCAGAAAUGUCACCCAACAUUGAAUUUUUCUAUCAUUCAUUUGUUUUACCAGAGAUUCAUUCUAAGUCUUUGCAACAUCUUUUGACCCAAGAAAGUUUAAAUGUCCAUACACCGGACCCAAUGGAAAUUGACAACAAGGUACAUGUAGAAGGGGAGACAUAUUUUUGUCCUGAAUGUAAUAUGGUUGUUAUGAAUGAAGUGACCAAGCUUAAAGAGCGUAGCAUAUAUUGUGAUGUGUGCAAACUUUGGUAUCAUUUUCAUUGCGUUGGAAUAACUGACAAAUAUGUCAAAAGUUUGACAUCAUGGCAUUGUAAAAAAAUGCAUUCAAUCUUCUUCUUCUUAAGCUUCUCUCAAUAAAUGAUCUGAAGAAAAUAAAAAUUGUUGUAAAAUGGUAUACCCGGUACUUAUAUAUGAACAUGUACAUUUUAUGUAUAUCAUAUAUAUUCUAAUUGUUACCAUUAAUGUUCAUAGUAUGUUCAUUGUAUGUUCAUUGUAUGUACUAUAUUUCAUUGCAUGACUUGGAAAAUAAUAAAUUGUUUACAUUUUC
rnacentral:sRNA from 1 species